GGCGUCCUGGACAUCUUGAGGUGACCUAAAGACCCUUAGCAAACACAUCUGGCAACUGAGAAGAAAUGCAUAAUUUUCCAAGGAAACAUAGAUGGCCAAAAUUGACCCCAUUUGAUUAAGAAAACCGACAUGAAUCAAUUUCCCUAAAAGAAGUAGAGAAAUUUGUUAAGGAACUACAUCCAGAAAAAGGCACGGGCCGAGGGUGUCGACGGCAAUCUCUAUACACCUUACUAGACCAGAUGUUCCCAAUGCUCCAUGAGUUUUUCCAGAGUCAAAAAAGGAAAAUCUCAUUCUUUAUUGUAGAGCAAGUAUAGCAUUGACCUUUCAACCUGACGAAGAGAACUUUAAAAAUACGAACUACAGAUCGAUGUCACAUGGAUAUCUGGAUGCAAAAAUACUAAAUAAAAUAUGGGCAAGCAGGAUCGGAAACCAUCUUAAGAAAAGUCCAGAAAGACUUACGGUUUGGAUGGAUCGUCUCCCAAGGCUGUGUGUGGAGAGCCUGUCCCCAACGGUUCAGAGGUGGGGCUUGUGGUCAGAGGUCGGCUCAGGAGGGCGCUGAUGGGCUGGGAGGUGGGACCUGGUGGGGCAGGCCCUGGAGGGUUCAUUGUGUCGCUGUCCCCUCUCUCCUGCCCCCACGCCCGUCGCGUUAGCUGAGCCGCUCUCUUCUGCCGUUCCUUCCACCAUGAUGUUUCUGCCUUGGAGCCAGCAUGGAUGGACCUCUGACACAAAGCCCAAAUAGACCUUUCCUCCUCUACGUUGUCCUUGUCGGGUGUUCUGAUCACAGCCAUGAGAAGCUGACGCAUGCACUGACCAAGCGGGACUUUCUCCUGGAAUGCUGGGUGGCUCCUGGGUAGGAAAUGCAUUAACACCAUCCGCCUCUUCGUGGAGGUCGAAAGAAGAAAUAAGAUCAUUUCCAAAGACGAUGGAAAAGGCUGACAAAGAGUGAAAGAGAUGAAGGAUGUUUUCCUUACAGGUAAGUGUGGGUGUCUCUGUCCACAAGCCGGAAUCUUCCUUACUGACAGACUCGGGGCGUGGGCGCUGAGGAGGUGGCAGGGCAGAAUUGCCAGGUGCUCUGCUGCUGCAUGUGCCAGCCAGAGCAGCUGGGGCACAGGCUCUGGGAGAGACCAGAACCGCUGGCGAGUGGCGAAUCUAACUCCAACAGCUACAAGGAUCCUGUGUGGCAGCAGAAAUCAGUAG
rnacentral:lncRNA from 1 species